rnacentral:rRNA from 1 species
UACAGAGGUCUCAAGCGUUGUUCGGAUUCAUUGGGCGUAAAGAGCGUGUAGGCGGCCCGGUAAGUCCGCUGUGAAAGUCGGGGGGCUCAACCCUCGAAUGCCGGUGGAUACUGUCGGGCUAGAGUGCGGUAGGGGUAGAGGGAAUUCCCAGUGUAGCGGUGAAAUGCGUAGAGAUUGGGAAGAACACCGGUGGCGAAAGCGCUCUACUGGGCCUGCACUGACACUCAUGGACGAAAGCUAGGGGAGCGAAAGGG